rnacentral:tRNA from 1 species
GCCUGGUUGGCUCAGUCGAUUGAGCAUCAGACUCUUGACCUAGGCUCAGGUCAUGAUCUCACAGUUUGUGGGUUUGAGCCCCGCAUCCGGCU